AUGCUCUCUCAGAGGCACUGCGCUCUCUGCCCAUGUGAGCUGGGGCUGCCAGGACCGGCAUCCUGGGAAACUGUUCUGAAAAUGAGCCCCUCAGUUUCCACAGGAAUCUCCCAGCCGCUUCCCACCUUGAAGGCCGCUGCUGAGCACGACAGAGCAGCCCUCCCAGCCUGGCCCUCUGGCUGCCGAAGGAUUGCUGGGAGCCUGUGGCGGAAGGCACAGUGGGCAGCGCUGGUGGAACACCUGCUUUCUCUCUUGCAUGCCCCUCUCCAGUCUGGGGACGCUGUGGAGGGCGCUUCUGACUUCCACACAGUUGGAAUCCCCAAAGAAGUCGGCAAAAUCUCCUGGUUUUUUGGCCAACCCAGGGAACAAUUUGAAGGCCCCACAUCAGACAAGUGGACAGGCCUGAGAUUCCUGUGGCCUCUUGGUGACCCCUCUCUGCUUCUACAACUCCUGAUUUAUGUUGCUUUAAAAGGGCGGGUGUCCUACCUGUUAUUGGACACUCUUGAUGUAUAAAACUGACAGCUGCGCACAAUGACACAUUAUUGGCUCAGGCUGGUCAAUGAGGAGGCAAUUUCCUUUCUCCCUUGUCCAUUGCCAAGUAAGCACAGGAUUGCUAGAAAUGCUAUCAAUCAGUUGGCACAAGUGCAGGGAAGUGCCAGCCUGUAUGUGGGCAUGGCAGCCUCACUCCCUAAAGAUGAAUGAAAAUAAAUGAUGGCACUAUUCUCUUUAGGACAGAUCGAAGUCAUCUCCUAUUGCCUGGGUGAACAGAUUCGGGGACAAGUCAAAUGGAUUUUUCCAGUAAGGUCCAUGUAAUUAUUAUUUCCUCCUCCUCCCUUUUCCUUUUCUUUUUUCCAUCUAGGUCCUAGAUUUUGUAAACACACACACAGUUAAUUCCUAGGGCUGUGCCAUUCAAUAC
rnacentral:lncRNA from 1 species